UCAUUGGAGAGUUUGAUCCUGGCUCAGGACGAACGCUGGCGGCGUGCUUAACACAUGCAAGUCGAACGGAAAGGCCCUGCUUUUGUGGGGUGCUCGAGUGGCGAACGGGUGAGUAACACGUGAGUAACCUGCCCUUGACUUUGGGAUAACUUCAGGAAACUGGGGCUAAUACCGGAUAGGAGCUCCUGCUGCAUGGUGGGGGUUGGAAAGUUUCGGCGGUUGGGGAUGGACUCGCGGCUUAUCAGCUUGUUGGUGGGGUAGUGGCUUACCAAGGCUUUGACGGGUAGCCGGCCUGAGAGGGUGACCGGCCACAUUGGGACUGAGAUACGGCCCAGACUCCUACGGGAGGCAGCAGUGGGGAAUAUUGCACAAUGGGCGGAAGCCUGAUGCAGCAACGCCGCGUGCGGGAUGACGGCCUUCGGGUUGUAAACCGCUUUCGCCUGUGACGAAGCGUGAGUGACGGUAAUGGGUAAAGAAGCACCGGCUAACUACGUGCCAGCAGCCGCGGUGAUACGUAGGGUGCGAGCGUUGUCCGGAUUUAUUGGGCGUAAAGGGCUCGUAGGUGGUUGAUCGCGUCGGAAGUGUAAUCUUGGGGCUUAACCCUGAGCGUGCUUUCGAUACGGGUUGACUUGAGGAAGGUAGGGGAGAAUGGAAUUCCUGGUGGAGCGGUGGAAUGCGCAGAUAUCAGGAGGAACACCAGUGGCGAAGGCGGUUCUCUGGGCCUUUCCUGACGCUGAGGAGCGAAAGCGUGGGGAGCGAACAGGCUUAGAUACCCUGGUAGUCCACGCUGUAAACGGUGGGUACUAGGUGUGGGGUCCAUUCCACGGGUUCCGUGCCGUAGCUAACGCUUUAAGUACCCCGCCUGGGGAGUACGGCCGCAAGGCUAAAACUCAAAGGAAUUGACGGGGCCCCGCACAAGCGGCGGAGCAUGCGGAUUAAUUCGAUGCAACGCGUAGAACCUUACCUGGGUUUGACAUGGAUCGGGAGCGCUCAGAGAUGGGUGUGCCUCUUUUGGGGUCGGUUCACAGGUGGUGCAUGGCUGUCGUCAGCUCGUGUCGUGAGAUGUUGGGUUAAGUCCCGCAACGAGCGCAACCCUUGUUCACUGUUGCCAGCACGUUAUGGUGGGGACUCAGUGGAGACCGCCGGGGUCAACUCGGAGGAAGGUGGGGAUGACGUCAAGUCAUCAUGCCCCUUAUGUCCAGGGCUUCACGCAUGCUACAAUGGCUGGUACAGAGAGUGGCGAGCCUGUGAGGGUGAGCGAAUCUCGGAAAGCCGGUCUCAGUUCGGAUUGGGGUCUGCAACUCGACCUCAUGAAGUCGGAGUCGCUAGUAAUCGCAGAUCAGCAACGCUGCGGUGAAUACGUUCCCGGGGCUUGUACACACCGCCCGUCAAGUCAUGAAAGUUGGUAACACCCGAAGCCGGUGGCCUAACCGUUGUGGGGGAGCCGUCGAAGGUGGGACUGGUGAUUAGGACUAAGUCGUAACAAGGUAGCCGUACCGGAAGGUGCGGCUGGAUCACCUCCUUU
rnacentral:rRNA from 4 species